rnacentral:tRNA from 1 species
GUGAUGAUAGCUCAAUGGUUAAGAGUACUUGCUUUGAAAGCAUGAGGACCUGAGUUCAAAUCUCUUACACC